rnacentral:rRNA from 1 species
GGGUUGUGAGGUUAAGCGACUAAGCGUACACGGUGGAUGCCCUGGCAGUCAGAGGCGAUGAAGGACGUGCUAAUCUGCGAUAAGCGUCGGUAAGGUGAUAUGAACCGUUAUAACCGGCGAUUUCCGAAUGGGGAAACCCAGUGUGAUUCGUCACACUAUCAUUAACUGAAUCCAUAGGUUAAUGAGGCGAACCGGGGGAACUGAAACAUCUAAGUACCCCGAGGAAAAGAAAUCAACCGAGAUUCCCCCAGUAGCGGCGAGCGAACGGGGAGGAGCCCAGAGCCUGAAUCAGUGUGUGUGUUAGUGGAAGCGUUUGGAAAGGCGCGCGAUACAGGGUGACAGCCCCGUACACAAAAAUGCACAUGCUGU